UACGUAGGGGGCAAGCGUUGUCCGGAUUUAUUGGGCGUAAAGAGCGUGUAGGCGGCCUGACAGGUCAGCUGUGAAAACUCGAGGCUCAACCUCGAGACGUCGGUUGAAACCAUCUGGCUAGAGUCCGGAAGAGGAGAGUGGAAUUCCCGGUGUAGCGGUGAAAUGCGCAGAUAUCAGGAAGAACACCCGUGGCGAAAGCGGCUCUCUGGAACGGUACUGACGCUGAGACGCGAAAGCGUGGGGAGCGAACAGG
rnacentral:rRNA from 1 species